AUACGGAAGGUCCGGGCGUUAUCCGGAUUUAUUGGGUUUAAAGGGAGCGCAGGCGGAGAUGCAAGCGUGACGUCAAAUUUCGGGGCUCAACCCCGUCUCGCGUCGCGAACUGCGUCCCUUGGUUGCGGGAAGGGGAGGCGGAACUCGUGGUGUAGCGGUGAAAUGCAUAGAUAUCACGAAGAACUCCGAUCGCGAAGGCAGCCUUCCGGCCCGUCAACGACGCUCAUGCUCGAAGGUGCGGGUAUCAAACAGGAUUAGAUACCCUGGUAGUCCGCACAGUAAACGAUGGACACCCGCGGUUUGGCCUGUAUGGCUGAGCCGCCAAGCGAAAGCGUUAAGUGUCCCACCUGGGGAGUUCGCCGGCAACGGUGAAACUCAAAGGAAUUGACGGGG
rnacentral:rRNA from 1 species